CAAGCACCACCGCCAAGCCCAACUUUACGUUUUACAUAGAAAAUUGGUAUUCUCUUUUACUGAGAUGAGAUCUGUCUUUCACUUGAAUCACUUCAGUCUCAGAAGUAGUGGAAGUUUAGAGACCGAAGAAGCUGAAUCCUGAAUAAAACUCUUUCCAAAUUCUUCGUAAUAAUGAGAAGGCAGGGGCAUCAUAGGCCGCACGCGAAGCAAGGAAGGGUCAAGGGCAUGGUGGGGAAGUUAUCGAUCGCGGUGUUGGUGCUCCUGAUCUGCACGGUUUCGCUGAUGUUUUCUUCUUCCAGCAGUGGAACUAGUCGAUCCGGCUAUCGCUCUGAGAUCAAGGUAGAAGAACUUUGGAGAAGAGCUGAUGCUGGUGGUUGGAGGCCAUCCUCUGCUCCACGAUCUGACUGGCCCCCUCCUCCAGCUCCAAGUGAGAGUAAUGGCUUUCUGCGUGUUCGCUGUAAUGGUGGUCUGAACCAGCAACGUACUGCGAUUUGUAAUGCAGUUCUUGCUGCACGAAUCAUGAAUGCUACACUAGUGCUACCCGAGUUGGAUGCAAACUCUUUUUGGCAUGAUGAGAGCGGUUUCUAUGGUAUCUACGAUGUUGAACAUUUUAUCCAGACAUUGAGGUUUGAUGUGCAGAUUGUUGAACGCAUACCAGAAAUUCGCAAAAAUGGAAAAAUUAAAAAGAUUAAAGCUUUUCAGUUACGUCCUCCUAGAGAUGCUCCUAUCAAUUGGUAUACUACAGUUGCUCUGGAGAAGAUGAAGGAACAUGGUGCUAUUUAUCUCACUCCCUUUUCGCACCGAUUAGCUGAAGAAAUUGACAAUUCUGAGUAUCAAAGAUUGAGGUGUAGAGUUAACUAUCAUGCUCUAAGAUUCAAGCCACAUAUUAUGAAGUUAAGUCAAUCGAUAGUUGAUAAGCUCCGCUCACAAGGUCACUUCAUGUCCAUACAUCUUCGUUUUGAGAUGGAUAUGCUGGCAUUUGCUGGGUGCUUAGAUAUAUUUACGCCUCACGAGCAAGCAAUUUUGAAGAAGUACCGAAAGGAAAACUUUGCACCAAAAGUGCUCAAUUAUGACGAAAGGAGGGCCAUCGGAAAAUGUCCAUUAACUCCAGAAGAGGUUGGUCUGAUUCUACGUGCAAUGGGGUUUGAUAAUUCUACCAGAAUAUUCCUGGCUGCUGGUGAGCUCUUUGGUGGGAAUAGAUUCAUGAAACCACUUCGGACACUUUUCCCUCACCUUGAGAACCACAGUUCUGUGGAACGUAUAGAUGAGCUAGUUGAGAACACCAGGGGACUGGCAGGGUCGGCUGUUGAUUACAUGGUUUGUCUCCUGUCUGACAUUUUUAUGCCAACAUAUGAUGGCCCAAGCAACUUUGCAAACAAUCUCCUCGGACACCGUCUUUACUAUGGCUUCCGCACUACAAUCAGACCUGACAGGAAAGGUCUUGCCCCUAUCUUCAUUGAUCGGGAGAAUGGGCAAAAGGCAGGUUUUGACGAAGCUGUUAGGCGAGUCAUGCUCAAAACGAACUUUGGUGGACCCCGCAAGCGGAUGUCACCAGAGUCUUUCUAUACAAAUUCUUGGCCUGAAUGUUUCUGUCAAUCUUCACCACAGAAUCCUGCUGACAAAUGUCCCCCAGAUGAUGUUGUGCAAAUUCUAAGCAGCCAUUUGGAGAGUGAAGCAACUGAUGGCUUCCAGUCAUUGACCUCAUUAAAUUCGACAAUAUCUGGGGCGGAAAGAUAAGCAAAUAUUUUACCCAAACUUCUAGCUGGUGGUUAGCCUAACUCGGUAAUGAAUCCCCCCCAUGCAUCAUAUUGAAAAGCAGGGGAUUUUCUCAGCCAUAUUAUGCGUUAUUCUAGCUGGCAUCAUCUUUGGAGAUAUGCGUGCUUAGUCUUACCUAUUUUGGUGCUAGAGGUUCGUUUAUGUUUCCUACAGUCCAGAGGGGUCAUACAGACAAAGGUUGCUUGAGUAAAUUUGAAUUACUUGAACCACCUGAUUUUGUCGAAAUUUGUAUGUGACUUGAGAACUUAUUACAUAUCUAUAUCUAUUAUGAAUGUAUGAUAUCUGGUGGAAAAACAGUUUAUCACUGAUCUUAAUUUAA